rnacentral:rRNA from 1 species
AGAGUUUGAUCCUGGCUCAGGAUGAACGCUGGCGGCGUGCUUAACACAUGCAAGUCGAACGAUCCUUCGGGAUAGUGGCGGACGGGUGAGUAACGCGUGGGAAUCUGCCCUCAGGAGGGGGAUAACGGCUGGAAACGGCCGCUAAUACCCCAUAUGCCGAGAGGUGAAAUGAAUUUCGCCUGAGGAUGAGCCCGCGUCUGAUUAGCUAGUUGGUGGGGUAAAGGCCUACCAAGGCGACGAUCAGUAGCUGGUCUGAGAGGAUGAUCAGCCACACUGGGACUGAGACACGGCCCAGACUCCUACGGGAGGCAGCAGUGGGGAAUUUUCCGCAAUGGGCGAAAGCCUGACGGAGCAACGCCGCGUGAGGGAUGAAGGCCUCUGGGCUGUAAACCUCUUUUCUCAAGGAAGAAGAACUGACGGUACUUGAGGAAUAAGCCACGGCUAAUUCCGUGCCAGCAGCCGCGGUAAUACGGGAGUGGCAAGCGUUAUCCGGAAUUAUUGGGCGUAAAGCGUCCGCAGGCGGCCUUGUAAGUCUGUUGUUAAAGCGUGGAGCUCAACUCCAUUUAAGCAAUGGAAACUACAAGGCUGGAGUGUGGUAGGGGCAGAGGGAAUUCCCGGUGUAGCGGUGAAAUGCGUAGAUAUCGGGAAGAACACCAGUGGCGAAGGCGCUCUGCUGGGCCAUAACUGACGCUCAUGGACGAAAGCCAGGGGAGCGAAAGGGAUUAGAUACCCCUGUAGUCCUGGCCGUAAACGAUGAACACUAGGUGUCGGGGGAAUCGACCCCCUCGGUGUCGUAGCCAACGCGUUAAGUGUUCCGCCUGGGGAGUACGCACGCAAGUGUGAAACUCAAAGGAAUUGACGGGGGCCCGCACAAGCGGUGGAGUAUGUGGUUUAAUUCGAUGCAACGCGAAGAACCUUACCAGGGUUUGACAUCCUGCGAAUCCCUUGGAAACGAGGGAGUGCCUUCGGGAGCGCAGUGACAGGUGGUGCAUGGCUGUCGUCAGCUCGUGUCGUGAGAUGUUGGGUUAAGUCCCGCAACGAGCGCAACCCACGUCUUUAGUUGCCAGCAUUCAGUUGGGCACUCUAGAGAGACCGCCGGUGAUAAACCGGAGGAAGGUGUGGAUGACGUCAAGUCAUCAUGCCCCUUACAUCCUGGGCUACACACGUACUACAAUGCUACGGACAAAGGGCAGCAAGCUCGCGAGAGUUAGCAAAUCCCAUAAACCGUGGCUCAGUUCAGAUCGUAGGCUGCAACUCGCCUACGUGAAGGAGGAAUCGCUAGUAAUCGCAGGUCAGCAUACUGCGGUGAAUACGUUCCCGGGCCUUGUACACACCGCCCGUCACACCAUGGAAGUUGGCCAUGCCCGAAGUCGUUACUCCAACCCUUGUGGAGGAGGACGCCGAAGGUGGGGCUGAUGACUGGGGUGAAGUCGUAACAAGGUA